UGCAGAUUUUGUUUCUGCAAAUCCACAAGACGCUACAGUGUACGAUUACUGAGAUCUCAAAUUUUUCUCACAAGUGCCAUUUGCGCCUGCUGUUCUCGUGUAAACCCACCAGAGGGCGCUGUUGACUGACUGUUUGACUGACUGACUGACCGAUCGACUCCCCCUCCUCCUUCCCUAAACCCAACCAACCAAAGCCCUCGUCUGAUUUUUACCACGUUUUCAGAUUUUACCACAUCCUCACCCUGUUAUGUACUUCUUUAUUUUAUUUUUUUGCAUUCUGUUUUUGUCUUACCUGCUUUCUGCAACUGUUCUUCACCAGACUCGAACCCGGUCAUCCUGGUCAACUCCUCUCUGCGUCUCAAGUCCGCCGAUGGACAUGGCAAGCUAACGGGACAAACUGGUUACAGCAGGAAAGCUGUCCAUACGGAGGUUGUGGUUUUGGCUUCUGAAAGCAGCGUUGGGAUUGUAAACACCAGACUGCAAUCCAACUAAAGAGUAGGCAUGCACUGAAUCACUGUGCAGAGAUAUGACCAAAGCUCUUCUUCCACCUGAGCCUUGCUGGUAAUGCAGCAGCAGACAGACUGGCAGACACAUGCGUCACUCCAUCAAACUGCUGAUUCAUCAGACGCACAGGACCAGUGUUCGGGACGGGCCACAGCAGCAGGCAGGGGGCAGCAGGGCCUCGCUCACCACUUCUGUCCCGCUUCUGAGAGGAAGAACUGAGCUUUGGGGAACAUUCGGCAUACGUUUCAAAUCCUUCAAUGCAGCUUUGUAAAAUCUAGAGUUACACCACUUUAAAGGGGACCUGUUAUGCCCCUUUUAACAAGAUUUAAAAUAAUUCGCCAAUAUCCCUAGAGUGUGUACGUGGAGAUUCAGCUCAUUCACAAGCUCAUUGGAAAUAUGUGUGAAAGUACUCU